CUCCAGCUGACGAGUCCCAAAUAGGACGGAACGUGCGUCAUGGAU
rfam:Schistosoma mansoni strain Puerto Rico chromosome 5, complete genome